CAAGACAUAAGUUAUAACAACCAGCAAACUUUGCCAACAAACAGCCAACUCCAGGUUUUGUUGUUUUCCUUCCCUACUAAUCUUUUCACAGGCUCUGCUGGACCCCACUAUUCCACUUUUAUCACCAAGCACAAACAUCUUUCCUAGAACAGUCUCACAGGGAGAUUGUGUGGAUUAUGCUCCAAAGCACACAGAGAACAGAUGGGAAAAUCAUUCAACCUGCCUGUAUCUCAAGUUUCCGAUCUAUACAACUAGGAGGAUAAUAUACACCUCAGCUCAUUGAAAAGCAUGGGGGGAAGAAGCGUUCAAAUUGUGGACAUGAGGAACAGGCAUCCAUGCUGAACAAGCAGGUGUUGAAGUAGCUGUGAUUCCACUGGAAGCUCGAGCAGGGAGAGAGGAGAGUGAUGAAGACCCUUAGCCCCCAGGGAAGAUCUCUGUUCCCAGACAUGAAGAUGAUCUCAGAGAUAGAUGAAGAAAACUUCUGCUUCUAAAAAGUUCAUUCUCAAAAGCAUACCACAUCAGCCAAAGAUUGAGCCCUCGAAAACAGUUGUGGGGAAAGCUGUAAGUCAAGGGGAGGGUCUUUUACAGUGAUCAGAUUUCUGAUCUCUGGGUGGCUGAUUCACUGUGACAUUGAAGCCACAAGAGAACAGUUUCUUGUGGAGAAGUCUCCAUAGCAUGACAAGAGAGACUCCUCUCCCCAAGCAAAUUAAAGAAAGACUAUUUUAGCUGUGAUAAACUGACUGAAUUGUUUCUGUACAUUGUCAGAGGGAAAGAAAAGAGAGUGUGUGGGGGGGAGAAGCACUCUGAAAGUUUUAUUCUGAUUGUUAUUAUUCUUUUUGUUCUGUUAAUAAAAUUUUUCUUUAUACCCUUUAAAGUGUAAGCCUGCAUUGCCUUGCUCCUAAUCCUAUCUCACAGCAGGAAAUGAGUAAAUAGUUCUGGUGAGUGCACUAGCUAUUUAGCCAGCACUAAACCCAUCACAUAAAUUAGUGCAUUAGCCAAAAAAAUCUCAAAUUAGCAAACCAAUAUCUCUACAAAGGGAAAGUAAAAUUUCUGGAAAACAGUAAGAGAAAUCUUUGCUUUUUAUGAAGCCCCUCUAGUGAAAACAAAAUUACCAGAUUCAC
rnacentral:lncRNA from 1 species